GGUCGCUUAGCUCAGUUGGUUAGAGCGUGGUGCUAAUAUCUGUUCUGUUCAUUCAGUUGGGUUUGGCACGCCAAGGUCGGCGGUUCGAAACCGCCAGUGAUCA
rfam:Botryotinia fuckeliana BcDW1 unplaced genomic scaffold Scaffold_179, whole genome shotgun sequence.